UUUGCGUAGGAGUGUCUUUGUACCAGUAAAUCAGUUGAACAGAAAUGCCAUCGGAUUUUAUAAAAAUGUUAAGAUAUUACCGAAUUUAUCCAUCUAUCUCAGUUAUUAGUUAGUUUAAUAACUAAGAUGAAUGCGAGCUAAAGAGCAAACAUUCCAUGAAAGUGUAGGAUGUUGAUAAGAUUUAAACUGCACUCCCAUAUCACUUAGAAUUUGAAAUUCCUGAAUGUAUCUUCUAGUAUACAGAGAUAUCUGUAUCUUGACCAACUGAUCGUGGCUCUUGAAGUUCAACGUUCGAUAGGCGAAAUGAACAGGGAACCUGAGUAAACAGGGAGCAACGUGCUCUAUUUGCCGAGACUUCCAGUUCUAAAACGCGAUUGUCUGGCCAGCGACUGCGACUUUGGGUAGACAACGAAAUUGUCCCUUAUCGGAAAUCAAAUUCGGAUCACGAUUACUCACCAUCUACUGCGCCCCGUGGCAUGCAACACUCUUCGAAUGCACUCGCGGUUGGAGCAGCACUUUCACUUUGUGGAGCACAUCGUGCUCGAAACCUAAAGUCCACAUCUCGCUUAGUCCGUAUUUACACAACAAUGGCCGAAAACAAAGGAACGCACUAGGAGCGCGCUAGACAGCCGCCAACGUCGCAAGUCCACUCGUCCCGUGUCCGUACCGUCGCGUCCAGCACAAUUCGGGCUGGGAUGGAAGAACAACAGACCCGCAGCUCGUCGGAAGAGCGACUAAACCUAAACCCACUCACGCCGCUGCCGGCGUAGCUAUCGCAUGCCUUAAUCUAAUAAAUUCCUUAUCAAAGAGCGUCGGAGUAUAGUAUUUGCUCUAUCUGGCGUUUGUGCAGCCGCAAGUACGCGCUCGAAUGCUCGUGGAGUCGGUUUGUAAUGACACACGCGUCGGCGUCUGUCAACAUGCCAACCUUUUGUGACGCCCGCUCCUCGGAUCUUUUGGCAGUGGUCAGGUUUGGACUCGCAGCCUGCCAUUCCGACAGCCGAUAGUAUACAAAUCAUGUGAUUGUGGGCAAUUGCCGUUCUAGUUACAACAACAAUGCCGCAGACUACAGAAUCAGACCAACAAACCCAGCUGAACACCAACUAGUAGUUAUACCUUUUAAAAAGCGCAACUUGGCAAAAAGCGGACAUUUGGCUAUGCGUGUAAACAACUUCAAGGCUGGGGUGACUUUUAUUUUCCUAAUUCUGCUCUUGACACGGGCUUUUAGAACGGAGUUGAAAAGGUUGAAUGUGAAAUGCAAUAUGCAAACAAAAAUGCAAAUUGGAAUUAAACAAUAACGACUAAGAUUUAGCGCUAGAAGCAAUGAAUUCGCAUUUAAAUGGGCAGAGUGAUCGAAAUGAAUGCGAUGAAUUAUUUAUACUGAAACCGCAAUCAAUAAAUCUACCUGCCCACACCAUUCAAUAAUUAAGAAAUCAUUAAUCAGAUAAGAUUCGAUACAGCAAGGGAACUUUAGCUGCACAGUGCGGAAAAAUGGGCGGCAAGGUCGUUGGUCGAGGGCAUGAUGAUGUAAUUGCGAAAAGUUCUCUUUGCGCCAAAUUUGCCAACACAAAUUUAUUAGCGCGUCACGCAGUCUGCGACUUGUGCGGCGGAUGUUUACUGUGCCCAGCAUACACUGAAAACAAAAACGAUGAUGUACUUCAUUUUUGUAUAUCACAGCCGGUACAAUAUGACCUUUUUU